rnacentral:lncRNA from 1 species
GACGGAUAAGGUGCCCACAUACCGUGCUGGAAAAUUUGGCUGUAAAAGGUAACCAUUUGCUGAAAAUUUCGCCGGAGAAGGUAACCAUUUAGAGAUUUAUACUGUGGCAUGAGAAUAUAUCAUGCAGAAUUAGAGCUUGGUUUUGGAACUGAUGAUUUUUUAUAUAAUAUUUUUGUUUAAGCUUUGCGUGAAAUGGAGAUGG